UGGCCGAGACACCGGGGCUUCGAGAGAAGGUGGAGAUGCCCACAAACCCCCAGUCGCCGGAGUCAAGGGCAGAUCCUCCAGGAGCACCACUCCUCCUGAAGCAGGAUCUGUUCACUGGACCACUCAGGGCUCACCUUGUGCUGGAGUCCCAUAUGCCCACACCUUCCUCACCAAGACAUGUUUGGGUUCCAGGAAUUCCAUGGGAUGGCUCAGAUGAGAGAUGAUCUUUCUACCGGACUUGGAGCUUUGAAGAGUGACUCCUCCGAUCCCUAGACUCGAGGAACAAUCUAAGCGUCUCAAACAGGCGUUUCUGGACCUCCCCGGUGUCUGGUCAAUAGACUCUUCUUGAGGGUGGGGUUUUUGUCUGUCUUGUUUACCGCUGUGUCCCCGACGCCUUAACCAGGUCGGCACACAGUAGGUGCUCAAUAAA